GGGGAAUUUUCCGCAAUGGGCGCAAGCCUGACGGAGCAACGCCGCGUGGGGGAGGAAUGUCUGUGGAUUGUAAACCCCUUUUCUCAGGGAAGAAGUUCUGACGGUACCUGAGGAAUCAGCAUCGGCUAACUCCGUGCCAGCAGCCGCGGUAAGACGGAGGAUGCAAGCGUUAUCCGGAAUUAUUGGGCGUAAAGCGUCCGUAGGCGGUUUAUCAAGUCUGCCGUUAAAGACUGCAGCUCAACUGUGGGCGAGCGGUGGAAACUGAUUAACUAGAGUGUGGUAGGGGUAGAGGGAAUUCCCAGUGUAGCGGUGAAAUGCGUAGAUAUUGGGAAGAACACCAGUGGCGAAGGCGCUCUACUGGGCCACAACUGACGCUGAGGGACGAAAGCUAGGGGAGCGAAAGGGAUUAGAUACCCCUGUAGUCCUAGCUGUAAACGAUGGAUACUAGGUGUUGCGCGUAUCGACCCGUGCAGUACCGUAGCCAACGCGAUAAGUAUCCCGCCUGGGGAGUACGCACGCAAGUGUGAAACUCAAAGGAAUUGACGGGGGCCCGCACAAGCGGUGAAGUAUGUGGUUUAAUUCGAUGCAACGCGAAGAACCUUACCAGGGCUUGACAUCCCGCGAAUCCUCUUGAAAGAGGGGAGUGCCUUCGGGAACGCGGAGACAGGUGGUGCAUGGCUGUCGUCAGCUCGUGUCGUGAGAUGUUGGGUUAAGUCCCGCAACGAGCGCAACCCACGUCCUUAGUUGCCAUCAUUGAGUUGGGCACUCUGGGGAGACUGCCGGGGACAACUCGGAGGAAGGUGUGGAUGACGUCAAGUCAUCAUGCCCCUUACGUUCUGGGCUACACACGUACUACAAUGCUUCGGACAAAGGGCAGCGAGCGCGCGAGCGUGAGCAAAUCUCAUAAACCGAGGCACAGUUCAGAUUGCAGGCCGCAACUCGCCUGCAUGAAGGAGGAAUCGCUAGUAAUUGCAGGUC
rnacentral:rRNA from 1 species